AUUCAACUGAUGAGCCCCAAAUAGGACGAAACGCGCGUCCUGGAU
rfam:Schistosoma haematobium scaffold395_2, whole genome shotgun sequence.